UACGGAGGGGGCUAGCGUUGUUCGGAAUUACUGGGCGUAAAGCGCGCGUAGGCGGCUUUGUAAGUUAGAGGUGAAAGCCCAGGACUCAACCCUGGAAUUGCCUUUAAGACUGCAUCGCUUGAACAUCGGAGAGGUAAGUGGAAUUCCGAGUGUAGAGGUGAAAUUCGUAGAUAUUCGGAAGAACACCAGUGGCGAAGGCGACUUACUGGACGAUUGUUGACGCUGAGGUGCGAAAGCGUGGGGAGCAAACAGG
rnacentral:rRNA from 1 species